rnacentral:rRNA from 1 species
UAGGGAAUCUUCGGCAAUGGACGGAAGUCUGACCGAGCAACGCCGCGUGAGUGAAGAAGGUUUUCGGAUCGUAAAGCUCUGUUGUAAGAGAAGAACGAGUGUGAGAGUGGAAAGUUCACACUGUGACGGUAUCUUACCAGAAAGGGACGGCUAACUACGUGCCAGCAGCCGCGGUAAUACGUAGGUCCCGAGCGUUGUCCGGAUUUAUUGGGCGUAAAGCGAGCGCAGGCGGUUAGAUAAGUCUGAAGUUAAAGGCUGUGGCUUAACCAUAGUAGGCUUUGGAAACUGUUUAACUUGAGUGCAAGAGGGGAGAGUGGAAUUCCAUGUGUAGCGGUGAAAUGCGUAGAUAUAUGGAGGAACACCGGUGGCGAAAGCGGCUCUCUGGCUUGUAACUGACGCUGAGGCUCGAAAGCGUGGGGAGCAAACAGGAUUAGAUACCCUGGUAGUCCACGCUGUAAACGAUGAGUGCUAGGUGUUAGACCCUUUCCGGGGUUUAGUGCCGUAGCUAACGCAUUAAGCACUCCGCCUGGGGAGUACGACNAGCAAGGUUG